CCUACGGGAGGCAGCAGUGGGGAAUAUUGCACAAUGGGCGAAAGCCUGAUGCAGCAACGCCGCGUGAGCGAUGAAGGCCUUCGGGUUGUAAAGCUCUUUUCUCAAGGAAGAUAAUGACGGUACGUGAGGAGGAAGCCCCGGCUAACUACGUGCCAGCAGCCGCGGUAAUACGUAGGGGGCUAGCGUUAUCCGGAAUUACUGGGCGUAAGGGGUGGGUGGGUGGUUUCUUAAGUUUGAGGUAAAUUGCUACGGCCAACCCGUAGUAUGCCUUUGAAACUGGGGAACUUGAGUGCAGGAGAGGUGAGUGGAAUUCCUAGUGUAGCGGUGAAAUGCGUAGAUAUUAGGAGGAACACCAGUUGCGAAGGCAGCUCACUGGACUGUAACUGACACUGAGGCACGAAAGCGUGGGGAGCAAACAGGAUUAGAUACCCUUGUAGUC
rnacentral:rRNA from 1 species